rnacentral:rRNA from 1 species
CUCUCGGGUGACGAGCGGCGGACGGGUGAGUAAUGUCUGGGAAACUGCCUGAUGGAGGGGGAUAACUACUGGAAACGGUAGCUAAUACCGCAUAACGUCGCAAGACCAAAGUGGGGGACCUUCGGGCCUCAUGCCAUCAGAUGUGCCCAGAUGGGAUUAGCUAGUAGGUGGGGUAAUGGCUCACCUAGGCGACGAUCCCUAGCUGGUCUGAGAGGAUGACCAGCCACACUGGAACUGAGACACGGUCCAGACUCCUACGGGAGGCAGCAGUGGGGAAUAUUGCACAAUGGGCGCAAGCCUGAUGCAGCCAUGCCGCGUGUAUGAAGAAGGCCUUCGGGUUGUAAAGUACUUUCAGCGAGGAGGAAGGCAUUAAGGUUAAUAACCUUAGUGAUUGACGUUACUCGCAGAAGAAGCACCGGCUAACUCCGUGCCAGCAGCCGCGGUAAUACGGAGGGUGCAAGCGUUAAUCGGAAUUACUGGGCGUAAAGCGCACGCAGGCGGUCUGUUAAGUCAGAUGUGAAAUCCCCGGGCUCAACCUGGGAACUGCAUUUGAAACUGGCAGGCUUGAGUCUUGUAGAGGGGGGUAGAAUUCCAGGUGUAGCGGUGAAAUGCGUAGAGAUCUGGAGGAAUACCGGUGGCGAAGGCGGCCCCCUGGACAAAGACUGACGCUCA